ACCACCGCCACUUUCUUCACACCAGGGCGAGCAAAGCGGAAGAUCUCAUUGGCCUUUCUGAUGCCACUACCUGUGUUAAUGUGGCUGUAGAGAACGACCCCUACACGCGUCACCUCCGGACUGACUGACACGCGGUCGAUCAAGGUGGGCCGGGAUAGCCUUCUCCCUUCAGCCCUGGAGGUCCAAUGGGUCCUCGUAACCCUAUUUCACCCUAAAGACAGACAAAAUUGAUGAUCUGAAUCACAAAAGAACAGUGUAGAUUUCAGCUGGGAAGUC